GUUUAUUGAAUAACCGCCCCCUAUAUAUAUAUAUAUAUAUAGUAUAUAUAUAUAUAUAUAUAUAUGAGAAAAAUCUAAGACACAUGANCAGCUGGCAUAUUCCUCAUUCAUGAUUAAUGCAUUCAUUCAAGUUAUGACAACUAUUUCAUGGCAGGUAAUGAAUGCUGCAGUUAUUCAACAAAAAAAAAAAUACAAAAACUAGUGUAUCUGCAUAUGAUCAUAUGAAUCAUAUUCAAUUCAAAUUAAAUGAUCACAUAUAAAUCAUACAUAUUCAUCAUCACAAUAUGCAAGAAAGCAGCAGUUCAUCAUGUAAAACAGUAAAAGAUCAAAUACAUAAUUAAGCUUAGCUAGCUUUGCAACAUAAUCAUACCUUAAUUAGUUAAUUUAGUUAUAUAUAUAUACAGUGACACAUAUCAUGAAAUUAAGAAUAUUCUUGAUAUACACAUAUACACACACUAACAGCAAACAGAGAAAACAAGUAUCAACUUCCAAAACCCCACUCUAGAACAGUGUGUAGUAGUAGAGAGAGAGAGAGAGAGGAGACUUAAACAUGAGCUUACAAAUUAGAAAAACUAGAAGAAAUUACAUAAAGUAAGCAACACAAAAUAAUUAACCUAAUUAGGGUUGGUGUUGGUCUGAGGGCCACCACCACCACCUAUGAUCGGCCGCGGCGGUGCCCUAGGUGGCGCUACCCGCGCCGCCUGCGCCACCAGGGCGGAGGAAUUAGGCGGAUCCGGCUGGGCUUGGGUAGUUCCUCCGUCGUCGUAAGUGAAACCUAGACAGUUGAGCAGAGCCCUCAUGAAUUCUUGAAAAUAAUUGCAUGGAUUGUGAGAAAAAAGGUAGUCUUGAUCAUUACAUUUCUUCACCUCGUUAGCCUCGGAUUUCACCUCCAUAUUUUUGUGUGAUAUUAUUUUUUCUGCAGUCUCAAAUUUAUGGAAGGGUUGGGUAGGUGGUGUAGAAA
rnacentral:lncRNA from 1 species